rnacentral:rRNA from 1 species
CCUACGGGUGGCACCAGUGGGGAAUAUUGCACAAUGGGCGCAAGCCUGAUGCAGCCAUGCCGCGUGUAUGAAGAAGGCCUUCGGGUUGUAAAGUACUUUCAGCGGGGAGGAAGGUGUUGAGGUUAAUAACCUCAGCAAUUGACGUUACCCGCAGAAGAAGCACCGGCUAACUCCGUGCCAGCAGCCGCGGUAAUACGGAGGGUGCAGGCGUUAAUCGGAAUUACUGGGCGUAAAGCGCACGCAGGCGGUCUGUCAAGUCGGAUGUGAAAUCCCCGGGCUCAACCUGGGAACUGCAUUCGAAACUGGCAGGCUAGAGUCUUGUAGAGGGGGGUAGAAUUCCAGGUGUAGCGGUGAAAUGCGUAGAGAUCUGGAGGAAUACCGGUGGCGAAGGCGGCCCCCUGGAGAAAGACUGACGCUCAGGUGCGAAAGCGUGGGGAGCAGACAGGAUUAGAUACCCCAGUAGU